AACUGGCCCGCGAUGUCAGCAUACACUUUCGCGUUUCGCUUGGUCCUCCCAUGUUCUGAUAGCAUAGGUUUCUAUCUCAGACCACGAUGCCCUGUCUUUUUUGUCUCCCAUUAUUCAGUGCUUCACUGCGAGUAUUUCACGAUUUCGCCGGUAACACUUAACCACCGUGCAAUGUCAACAAAUAUGGCUGCCGCGAAGUGGAUUACAAACUCUACUGGGCAGUCUGUGAACGAGAGUACCGGUAAAUCACGCCAAAAAUCCUUACGUCUUUCUUAUACAAAUCAGCGCUGUCUUAACAAAUUUGUCCAAAAAUAAAUUCCGAUUGGGUUGUUUCUUUCCUUUUCCAAAAAUAAGCUUUUUGUUACGCAAUCCCUGCCGUGGAGGCUACGUACUUGAUUGUCGCAGGCAAAGUGAAGUGAGUUUGGCGAACUCACUUCAUCGUUGCUUCAUCGGACAUGACAAGAUUCCUGCACGAGGUACAGCACAACGAAGAAGCAUUCAAAUCGUGGUUUACAGGAUGCAUCAGAACACCUGUCGCGAAAGCUUUAAUGAAUUGCCUACAGGGAAGCAUCAAGCUGCAAAUUAAAAAGACUGUUGCAAAACUUAUUGAUGUGUCUGUAUGGGUGUGUUGUAGGGGAACAUUUGUGCUGCAUGUUGAUUAGUCCAAUUUUUUGCCCCCUCCAAACAUCCUUCGAAUGGCUUGCAAAUGAUUUAUUUCUGGCGAAUUUAGAACAUACUUUUGCUCUGAUAAUUUUGGUGUAUUUGGGGAAUUUACGCUUAGGGGUUAGUAUACAUUAAGCAUUUCAUUAUUUUCUGCAAACUGUUUUUGUUUCAUUCAAGAGAUCCAAAAGCAUGUUCAUGAUGUACAUAUCAGGAUUUUUUUUUUUUUUCUGAGUCAGCUCACCAUUAUACUUUGCCCUGAUUCAAUUUGAGAUACGUUGAGGUAGUAUUUGCAGUUGAUUAUAAUUUACUUCUUUACUGAACAUUAUACACAUUUCUGCGUGUGGGACCGCAAAAAUGUGUGACAUGUGCUCUGGGAAUAUAGUUCUGCUGUUGUAUGUUGUUCCUUUACUUGGCUGAGAGUUCCCAUUCUCUGAGAGAAGGCCCGUUCAAACAUUGCCAUUUUAUUAUGAAUUGUUCGAUAUUCUGUAGAGUUUGCCCAAAUCUGGCGUGUUACGGGGCUGUAAAAUGACCUUGUUCCUAUAUGUUAUGCUCUCUAUGCAUAACAGUAUAACCUUGUGAGUAACUGUCCUCAUGAUUUUUGUAAAAUGAAAAAUUUUGAACCAAAUUUACAACUCGUGCAAAACUGGAGUGCACUGGUGCCCGCAUGAGAAUUCGCAUGUAUUUAUAUCAUGGUCCCACUGGUGUUUGACGAAAAAUAUCUGAACAAUUACUUGUAAAGUCUGGCCAGGAACAUGCCGCGACAUUCGCAGGCAUACCUCUCGACUUACACCACUUUGUCGUGUUUGUCAUUGCAAGACUCAUUUUCCUGAAACGUUUAAUGCUUCAUUUAGGCUAUAUUCAUCACAUUACUUCUGUGCGCUGUACAGAUAUUGUACAAAUUCAUUUUGUGUGCCACAUGAGACUGGACAUAACUUUAACAAUUUUACCUGUGUAUAUUGCAGCACAUGUUCUAAUGGACGGUGCUGCUGCUGGGUGUAAAGCCUGAUUGCAACACCAGUGCCUUGUUUAUGUAUCAUGCGUAAAAAUAAAUCACUUCUGUCCUUUA